UCCAAGGCCUGUCAGUCCAGGAACAUUAAUUGGGCACAAUCUACUACAAAGAUUGCACCACCUACUCCAACUGCACUCAGCCUGUCAGUUCAGGGACAUUGAUUGGGUACAAUCUACUACAAAGGCUGCACCACCUACUCCAACUGCACUCAAUGAAUUACCACAGUAACGAAGAUGAUUAUGUGUGUGAGAUUGCUCAAACAAUGAUGGUGAAUAUUCUAGACCUUAUUGAGAAGAAAAAGACAUGACAAACGGUGAACAUCCUCCCCCCGAAUCCUUCUUCAAAGCUGCCAGAAGUCUUUGGAAUGUUCUUCUCGGUUAGUCAUUAUGUACUUUUUUUUUGAAUAAGAUAUUAUUUAGGUUCGAUUGUGUUAUGCAUGUAAUUGGUGAUAAAUGAUGUCCAAAUACAUACAAUUCUUAAUUUACCAAAGUUCUGAAAUUGGGUAACAGCAACUAGCAGCUUGCUAUCUUUAUACAAUUCUUGAUUUAACAAUG